rnacentral:rRNA from 1 species
UUUCCGUAGGUGAACCUGCGGAAGGAUCAUUCAUAAUAAGUGUUUUAUGGCACUUUUUAAAUCCAUAUCCACCUUGUGUGCAAUGUCAGUCGAUCUUCUUCAUGGAGAUCGACCAAACAUCAACCUUUAUUUUUUAACUCUUUGUCUGAAAAAUAUUAUGAAUAAACAAUUCAAAAUACAACUUUCAACAACGGAUCUCUUGGCUCUCGCAUCGAUGAAGAACGCAGCGAAAUGCGAUACGUAAUGUGAAUUGCAGAAUUCAGUGAAUCAUCGAAUCUUUGAACGCAUAUUGCGCUCUUUGGUAUUCCGAAGAGCAUGCUUGUUUGAGUAUCAGUAAACACCUCAAAGCUUUUGGAUUUUUUAAUCGAAAAGCUUUGGACUUGAGCAAUCCCAACACCAAUCUUUUUGAGAUCGGUGGCGGGUUGCUUGAAAUGCAGGUGCAGCUGGACAUUCUCCUGAGCUAAAAGCAUAUUCAUUUAGUCCCGUCAAACGGAUUAUUACUUUUGCUGCAGCUAACAUAAAGGGAGUUUGACCGUAUUGGCUGACUGAUGCAGGAUUUCACAAGGGUCGGCAACGAUUCUUGUUAACUCGAUCUCAAAUCAAGUAAGACUACCCGCUGAACUUAA